GAAGCUUCCUUCGGGAAGUGGAUUAGCGGCGGACGGGUGAGUAACACGUGGGUAACCUGCCUCAAAGUGGGGGAUAGCCUUCCGAAAGGAAGAUUAAUACCGCAUAAUAUAAGAGAAUCGCAUGAUUUUCUUAUCAAAGAUUUAUUGCUUUGAGAUGGACCCGCGGCGCAUUAGCUAGUUGGUAAGGUAACGGCUUACCAAGGCAACGAUGCGUAGCCGACCUGAGAGGGUGAUCGGCCACAUUGGAACUGAGACACGGUCCAGACUCCUACGGGAGGCAGCAGUGGGGAAUAUUGCGCAAUGGGGGAAACCCUGACGCAGCAACGCCGCGUGGGUGAUGAAGGUCUUCGGAUUGUAAAGCCCUGUUUUCUAGGACGAUAAUGACGGUACCAGAGGAGGAAGCCACGGCUAACUACGUGCCAGCAGCCGCGGUAAUACGUAGGUGGCGAGCGUUGUCCGGAUUUACUGGGCGUAAAGGGUGCGUAGGCGGAUGUUUAAGUGGGAUGUGAAAUCCCCGGGCUUAACCUGGGGGCUGCAUUCCAAACUGGAUAUCUAGAGUGCAGGAGAGGAAAGCGGAAUUCCUAGUGUAGCGGUGAAAUGCGUAGAGAUUAGGAAGAACACCAGUGGCGAAGGCGGCUUUCUGGACUGUAACUGACGCUGAGGCACGAAAGCGUGGGUAGCAAACAGGAUUAGAUACCCUGGUAGUCCACGCCGUAAACGAUGGAUACUAGGUGUAGGGGGUAUCAACUCCCCCUGUGCCGCAGUUAACACAAUAAGUAUCCCGCCUGGGGGAGUACGGUCGCAAGAUUAAAACUCAAAGGAAUUGACGGGGGCCCGCACAAGCAGCGGAGCAUGUGGUUUAAUUCGAAGCAACGCGAAGAACCUUACCUGGACUUGACAUCCCUUGCAUAGCCUAGAGAUAGGUGAAGCCCUUCGGGGCAAGGAGACAGGUGGUGCAUGGUUGUCGUCAGCUCGUGUCGUGAGAUGUUAGGUUAAGUCCUGCAACGAGCGCAACCCUUGUUAUUAGUUGCUACCAUUAAGUUGAGCACUCUAAUGAGACUGCCUGGGUAACCAGGAGGAAGGUGGGGAUGACGUCAAAUCAUCAUGCCCCUUAUGUCCAGGGCUACACACGUGCUACAAUGGUAGGUACAAUAAGACGCAAGACCGUGAGGUGGAGCAAAACUUAUAAAACCUAUCUCAGUUCGGAUUGUAGGCUGCAACUCGCCUACAUGAAGCUGGAGUUGCUAGUAAUCGCGAAUCAGAAUGUCGCGGUGAAUACGUUCCCGGGCCUUGUACACACCGCCCGUCACACCAUGAGAGCUGGUAACACCCGAAGUCCGUGAGGUAACCGUAAGGAGCCAGCGGCCGAAGGUGGGAUUAGUGAUUGGGGUGAAGUC
rnacentral:rRNA from 1 species